rnacentral:lncRNA from 1 species
GUUUUGAGUCGACUAGUGGACUGAUUUUUGCUAACAUUAAUGUGUUAUUGUUUUUAUUAUAUUUUAGUGUUCUUAAUAGGUACUAUGGAAUUGGGAAAGGUGACCAUGAACGAUUUGAUGGCUGCCAUAAUGGGUAUGAAACAUGACCUUAGUAGUCGAAUGGAGAGAAUGGAAAGAAUAAUGGACCGAGUGGAAGGAAAAAAUGGAAGGGACGUAAAGCUCUCUUUUCAAGGAGCUGG